rnacentral:rRNA from 1 species
CCUACGUGAGGCAGCAGUGAGGAAUAUUGGUCAAUGGGCGCGAGCCUGAACCCGCCAAGUAGCGUGAAGGCUGACUGCCCUACGGGUUGUAAACUUCUUUUAUACAGGAGUAAAGUGAGGCACGUGUGCCUUUUUGUAUGUCCUUUAUGAAUAAGGAUCGGCUAACUCCGUGCCAGCAGCCGCGGUAAUACGGAGGAUCCGAGCGUUAUCCGGAUUUAUUGGGUUUAAAGGGAGCGUAGAUGGGUUGUUAAGUCAGGUGGGAAAGUUUGCGGCUCAACAGUAAAAUUGCCAUUGAUACUGUCAGCCUUGAGUACAGUUGAGGUAGGCGGAAUUCGUGGUGUAGCGGUGAAAUGCUGAGAGAUCACGAAGAACACCGAUUGCGAAGGCAGCUUACUAAACUGCCACUGACAUUGAGGCUCGAAAGUGUGGGUAUCAAACAGGAUUAGAUACCCGAGUAGUC